rnacentral:rRNA from 1 species
GAUGAACGCUAGCUACAGGCUUAACACAUGCAAGUCGAGGGGCAGCAUUUUAGUUUGCUUGCAAACUAAAGAUGGCGACCGGCGCACGGGUGAGUAACACGUAUCCAACCUGCCGAUAACUCGGGGAUAGCCUUUCGAAAGAAAGAUUAAUAUCCGAUAGUAUAUUUUCUCCGCAUGGCGAGAAUAUUAAAGGAUUCCGGUAAAGGAUGGGGAUGCGUUCCAUUAGGUUGUUGGUGAGGUAACGGCUCACCAAGCCUUCGAUGGAUAGGGGUUCUGAGAGGAAGGUCCCCCACAUUGGAACUGAGACACGGUCCAA